rnacentral:rRNA from 1 species
AAGAAAGAUAGAGGUAGUAACUGGCCUUUAUUUGACGGUAAUUACUUAGAAAGUCACGGCUAACUACGUGCCAGCAGCCGCGGUAAUACGUAGGUGGCAAGCGUUGUCCGGAUUUAUUGGGCGUAAAGCGAGUGCAGGCGGUUCAAUAAGUCUGAUGUGAAAGCCUUCGGCUCAACCGGAGAAUUGCAUCAGAAACUGUUGAACUUGAGUGCAGAGGAGGAGAGUGGAACUCCAUGUGUAGCGGUGGAAUGCGUAGAUAUAUGGAAGAACACCAGUGGCGAAGGCGGCUCUCUGGUCUGCAACUGACGCUGAGGCUCGAAAGCAUGGGUAGCGAACAGGAUUAGAUACCCUGGUAGUCCAUGCCGUAAACGAUGAGUGCUAAGUGUUGGGAGGUUUCCGCCUCUCAGUGCUGCAGCUAACGCAUUAAGCACUCCGCCUGGGGAGUACGACCGCAAGGUUGAAACUCAAAGGAAUUGACGGGGGCCCGCACAAGCGGUGGAGCAUGUGGUUUAAUUCGAAGCAACGCGAAGAACCUUACCAGGUCUUGACAUCCAG